rnacentral:rRNA from 1 species
UACAGAGGGUGCUAGCGUUGUUCGGAAUCAUUGGGCGUAAAGGGCGUGUAGGCGGUUUUGUUAAGUCAUGUGUGAAAUCCCUCGGCUCAACCGGGGAAGGACGCAUGAAACUGGCAAGCUAGAGUACCAAAGAGGGGGGUGGAAGUUCCCGGUGUAGCGGUGAAAUGCGUAGAUAAUCGGAAGGAACAUCAGUGCGAAAGCGACGUCCUGGACCAGUACCGACGUUCAGGCACGAAAGCGUGGGGAGCAAACAGG